UUGGCCGCAGGAGAUCAUUACACGGGUGGACCUUACAAGGCUUAUCGAGGAUGCAAAUAUUCGCAUUCUUCCCGGCUCGAGACCGAUGGUGUAAAUCGAACGUGGACGCACGAGAAAUACGAAAUCAAUCNNNNNNNNNGAGCGGCGUCUUCGAGCUUUCAAUUGCUCACCAAAGAACUGUCGUUUCCAGGUGGAUUUCG
rnacentral:misc_RNA from 1 species